AUUGAACGCUGGCGGCAGGCCUAACACAUGCAAGUCGAGCGAGCGGCGGACGGGUGAGUAAUGUCUGGGAAACUGCCUGAUGGAGGGGGAUAACUACUGGAAACGGUAGCUAAUACCGCAUACCAUCAGAUUUGCCCAGAUGGGAUUAGCUGGUAGGUUGGGUAACGGCUCACCUAGGCGACGAUCCCUAGCUGGUCUGAGAGGAUGACCAGACACAUUGGACCUGAGAUACGGUCCAGACUCCUAAGGGAGGCAGAAGUGGGGAAUAUUGCACAAUGGGGGAAAGCCUGAUGCAGCAAUGCCGCGUGUGUGAAGAAGGCCUUCGGGUGGUAAAGCACUUUCAGCGGGGAGGCGUUACCCGCAGAAGAAGCACCGGCUAACUCCGUGCCAGCAGCCGCGGUAAUUC
rnacentral:rRNA from 1 species